AAGCCAUGACAAGGACAUUUUAAUAAUAAAUCUUUAAAUCUUUCCCAACAUUCAUAAAACUCUUCAUUAUCUUUUUGAAAAUACUCAGAGAUAUAUCUCCUUAGACU